rnacentral:rRNA from 1 species
AACGACUCUCGGCAACGGAUAUCUCGGCUCUCGCAUCGAUGAAGAACGUAGCGAAAUGCGAUACUUGGUGUGAAUUGCAGAAUCCCGUGAACCAUCGAGUCUUUGAACGCAAGUUGCGCCCGAAGCCUUCGGGCCGAGGGCACGUCUGCCUGGGCGUCACAC